rnacentral:lncRNA from 1 species
ACUGACUCUUGUCCUUGGAGUUCCACAAGUGUGCAGUGCUGUCCACAUACCUACACACACACACACACACACACACACACACACCCCAAACAAAUGUAACACCUGACCUACACAUACACACACCUACCCAAGGCAUUUGUCUAGUUUUCCCAUGUGGUGAUUCAAUGGCCCCAACUAUUGGCGCAAUCCCAUAAGAGAUGCAUACUUCCCUUUUGGGGAAUACAACUUCAAUUCCUUCUGCUCGUUUUAAUGUUCCUCUCUUAUGGGGUGAGCGACAGCAGCCCAGUGACAUGGAAGACAAAUGCAGUGGAAAACAGCCCAUGGGAGUGAGUGCUGGGCCCGGUAAGUGACCACCAUCAAACCUUCAAAAGCAUUAAAGGAAUUUUACAGAAAAGGUACUGUUUGAGGGUUUUACUGCUGUGAAGAGACACCAUGACCAAGGCAGCUCUUAUAAGGACAACGUUUAAUUGAGGUUGGCUUACAGGUUCCGAGGUUCAGUCCAUUUAUCAUCAAGAUGCGAGUGUGGCAACAUCCAGGCAGGCAUGGUGCGGGAGCAGCUAAGCGUUCUACAACUUCAUCUGAAGUCCUCUAAGGAAAGACUGUCUUCCAGGCAGCUAGGAGGUGGAACUCAUUGCCACCCACAGUGACACACUUCCUGCAACAAGGCCACACUUAUUCCAACAAGGCCAUACUUCCUAAUAGGGCCACUCCCUGAGCUAAGCAUAUCCCAACCACCACAGGUUUGGAGAAGGUAAAGGAGACUGAGAUUUUCUAAAGAAAAAGCAAUUACUUAAAAUGAGAUCCAUGAGC